CGGCGCUCCAAACCUCCUCCCCAGAGACGCGGACGGCUGCUGAGCAGGAGACGAACUCUGCCCUCCGUGGCCCCGCGGUCGCAGUCAACUUUCGCCUUGAACGCAAUCGAGACCCGGCAUCCCGUCUGGCGGCCGCCCACAGCGGACGUCCCCUUACUUCCAGACCCUCGCCGUGGCCGACUCGCAGCGCCAGCGCCCCGAGCCGGCCUCCCUGAGCUCGCAGGAGGAUCUCGAGCUUAUUACAGUUGGCCAACUCGGAAUUGGAGCUGGGGCAAACGUCUCCAAGUCAGCAGCCUCUCACCACCGCUUCCUCUUCACCUACGGGGUUGUUGACCGGGACCCCGCCUCCCGGGGCUGACUGAAGGCGGGUCUCCCCCUCGUCCUCUCCUUCGUCAAAGGUCGUCUCAGGUG